AUACGGAGGGGGUUAGCGUUGUUCGGAAUUACUGGGCGUAAAGCGUACGUAGGCGGACUAGUAAGUGAGGGGUGAAAUCCCAGGGCUCAACCCUGGAACUGCCUUUCAUACUGCUAGUCUUGAGGUCGAGAGAGGUGAGUGGAAUUCCGAGUGUAGAGGUGAAAUUCGCAGAUAUUCGGAGGAACACCAGUGGCGAAGGCGGCUCACUGGCUCGAUACUGACGCUGAGGUACGAAAGUGUGGGGAGCAAACAGGAUUAGAUACCCCAGUAGUCC
rnacentral:rRNA from 1 species